GAUGGAAGAACGUAGCGAAAUGCGAUAAGUAGUGUGAAUUGCAGAAUUCAGUGAAUCAUCGAAUCUUUGAACGCACAUUGCGCCCCUUGGUAUCCCGAGGGGCAUGCCUGUUCGAGCGUCAUUUCACCACUCAAGCCUGGCUUGGUGUUGGGCGACGUCCCAUUUGGGGACGCGUCUCGAAACGCUCGGCGGCGUGGCACCGGCUUUAAGCGUAGCAGAAUCUUUCGCUUCAAGAGUCGGGGCCCCGUCUGCCGGAAGACCUACCCAUAAGGUUGACCUCGGAUCAGGCAGGGAUACCCGCUGAACUUAAGCAUAUCAAUAAGCGGAGGA
rnacentral:misc_RNA from 1 species